rnacentral:rRNA from 1 species
AGACGGAGGGGGCUAGCGUUGUUCGGAAUUACUGGGCGUAAAGCGCGCGUAGGCGGUCCGUUUAGUUAGGCGUGAAAGGCCUGGGCUCAACCCGGGAACUGCGUUUAAAACUGGCGGGCUAGAGUCCGGGAGAGGGUGGCGGAAUUCCCAGUGUAGAGGUGAAAUUCGUAGAUAUUGGGAAGAACACCAGUGGCGAAGGCGGCCACCUGGCCCGGUACUGACGCUGAGGUGCGAAAGCGUGGGGAGCAAACAGGAUUAGAAACCCUAGUAGUCC